rnacentral:rRNA from 1 species
UCAACGCUGGCGGCGCGCUUAACACAUGCAAGUCGAACGAGAAAGGGUAGCAAUACCUGAGUAAAGUGGCGUACGGGUGAGUAACACGUGGAUCAUCUGCCCUUUGGUGGGAGUAACUCUGGAACCGGAGCUAUACCGCAUAAGUCCGAGAGGAGAACGACAGCAAUGCGCCGAAGGAGGAGUCCGCGGCUGAUUAGCUAGUUGGUAGGGUAAUGGCCUACCAAGGCGACGANCGGUAGCCGGCCUGAGAGGGCACACGGCCACACUGGCACUGAGACACGGGCCAGACUCCUACGGGAGGGCAGCAGUGGGGAAGUCUUGCACAAUGGGGGAAACCCGUGAUGCAGCGACGCCGCGUGAGUGAUGAAG